GACGAACCGUGCGAACGUUGUUCGGAAUCACUGGGUUUAAAGGGCGCGUAGGCGGCCGCCAAGUCGGUGGUGAAAUCUUUCAGCUUAACUGGAAAAUUGCCUUCGAUACUGGCGGCCUGGAGGAAGGUAGGGGCAUGCGGAACUUCCGGUGGAGCGGUGAAAUGCGUAGAUAUCGGAAGGAACACCGAUGGCGAAAGCAGCGUGCUGGACCUUUUCUGACGCUGAGGCGCGAAAGCCAGGGGAGC
rnacentral:rRNA from 1 species